UACAGAGGGGGCAAGCGUUAUUCGGAAUUAUUGGGCGUAAAGGGCGCGUAGGCGGCCAGUCAAGUGGAAGGUGAAAUCCCUCGGCUUAACCGAGGAACUGCCUUCCAGACUGUUUGGCUUGAGACCAGGAGAGGUGAGUGGAAUUCCCAGUGUAGCGGUGAAAUGCGUAGAUAUUGGGAGGAACACCAGUGGCGAAGGCGGCUCACUGGACUGGUACUGACGCUGAGGCGCGGAAGCGUGGGGAGCAAACGGG
rnacentral:rRNA from 1 species